rnacentral:rRNA from 1 species
UUGAACGCUGGCGGCAUGCCUUACACAUGCAAGUCGAACGGCAGCAUGAUCUAGCUUGCUAGAUUGAUGGCGAGUGGCGAACGGGUGAGUAAUACAUCGGAACGUGCCCUGUAGUGGGGGAUAACUAGUCGAAAGAUUAGCUAAUACCGCAUACGACCUGAGGGUGAAAGUGGGGGACCGCAAGGCCUCAUGCUAUAGGAGCGGCCGAUGUCUGAUUAGCUAGUUGGUGAGGUAAAGGCUCACCAAGGCGACGAUCAGUAGCUGGUCUGAGAGGACGAUCAGCCACACUGGGACUGAGACACGGCCCAGACUCCUACGGGAGGCAGCAGUGGGGAAUUUUGGACAAUGGGGGCAACCCUGAUCCAGCAAUGCCGCGUGUGUGAAGAAGGCCUUCGGGUUGUAAAGCACUUUUGUCCGGAAAGAAAUCGCACUUACUAAUAUUAGGUGUGGAUGACGGUACCGGAAGAAUAAGGACCGGCUAACUACGUGCCAGCAGCCGCGGUAAUACGUAGGGUCCAAGCGUUAAUCGGAAUUACUGGGCGUAAAGCGUGCGCAGGCGGUUGUGCAAGACCGAUGUGAAAUCCCCGGGCUUAACCUGGGAAUUGCAUUGGUGACUGCACGGCUAGAGUGUGUCAGAGGGGGGUAGAAUUCCACGUGUAGCAGUGAAAUGCGUAGAGAUGUGGAGGAAUACCGAUGGCGAAGGCAGCCCCCUGGGAUAACACUGACGCUCAUGCACGAAAGCGUGGGGAGCAAACAGGAUUAGAUACCCUGGUAGUCCACGCCCUAAACGAUGUCAACUAGUUGUUGGGGAUUCAUUUCCUUAGUAACGUAGCUAACGCGUGAAGUUGACCGCCUGGGGAGUACGGUCGCAAGAUUAAAACUCAAAGGAAUUGACGGGGACCCGCACAAGCGGUGGAUGAUGUGGAUUA